rnacentral:rRNA from 1 species
GUGAGGAAUAUUGGUCAAUGGGCGCAAGCCUGAACCAGCCAUGCCGCGUGCAGGAAGACGGUCCUAUGGAUUGUAAACUGCUUUUAUUUGGGAAUAAACCUCCUUACGUGUAGGGAGCUGAAGGUACCAAAUGAAUAAGCACCGGCUAACUCCGUGCCAGCAGCCGCGGUAAUACGGAGGGUGCAAGCGUUAUCCGGAAUCAUUGGGUUUAAAGGGUCCGCAGGCGGUCAUAUAAGUCAGUGGUGAAAGCCUACAGCUCAACUGUAGAACUGCCAUUGAUACUGUAUGACUUGAAUUCGAUCGAAGUGGGCGGAAUGUGACAUGUAGCGGUGAAAUGCUUAGAUAUGUCACAGAACACCGAUAGCGAAGGCAGCUCACUAGGUCUGGAUUGACGCUCAGGGACGAAAGCGUGGGGAGCAAACAGGAUUAGAAACCCGUGUAGUCC